AGUUUAUUUCCUUUUUGUGGGGCAAACGUGGGGGUUUCUUGCAGAUUUUACGAUCUUAAAGCUCACUGACCAACACAUCAGGCGGAUAUACACUUCAAUCCAUCUAUGCACACAGCAUUCAAUUUGACAUACCAGGCAACUGAUAAUCAGACUCACUGGCGCCGAGAAGGUGAGAAAAACUGCAGCCCAGCCUCUUUUAGGCCGUUACAAGCAGCAGCGAGUUUCCCUCGUUCUGCUGAGAUCCCUUUGCAUAUCCAAAUAAAGAAGCGUGGCCCUCCCGUAUAGCGCUCACAUUUAUACUACUGUUUGAAUGCAUGAUGGUAAGCUCCUCUGUGGAGUGGUUUUCGAUAAGACGUUAUGAGAUAAAUGCAAGCAGAGGACGCUGAAAUGGAGCACUGGAUAAUUAGCCAACACUCUCCGACCUCAACUGAUUACAACAGAGACUGUGCUUCUGAGGGAUCUGAAAGCGAAGCAACAAGUAUGAAAACAACUCAGGAAAAACUGGAGAACACCUUCAGGAAGCACAGAUGCCUGGCUGUAAAAACCUGGGGUGUUAUCUUUUCUUAAACACAUUUAAAAAAAUGACAAAGGUUGGGUGUCUUAAUUUUUUGUUAGUAAAUCAGUGUAAUACGUUGUGUUUUAAACCUCUGGUUUCACUGAAACGGAAGCUCAAAGACCCGCGUCGUGACUUUCUCUCGGUUCUGUUUCUGCACCCUAUGCUGAGCUCCAGGUCCACUUCUUCAUUCUACCGCAGCCGCAGCCGCUCCACAGAGCGGGUCUGACCCACCACCGCGCCCACUCAGCCAACCUGCUAUACAGUCACUCUUCUGCUGAGUUUGAGAUCGCUUUACUGUAUCUAGAAUCUAGGUUUAUUUUAAUAUUUAUAAAACUAUGUCAAUAGUUAAUAAUAUGGGCACAAAGUGGUUUAUUUACAGGUACGAAAUGAACGUAGGUCAGGACAAAAUGGCAAAACGUUAAUAAAAAACGGGGUUGCGAAGUGACAAAGGGAUGAAGGGACCCUAGCCAGUAUUGACAAACCUGAAAUAUUCUACCUCUACAUGCUGCUGCAGGUGAAUAUUUUGACCUCGGCUGUGUUGUAAAUUUGCAUCGUCAAAGCGACGUCAAAGCCAAGGUAACUGCUCUGUUGAAGAGUUUACUUGAAAGACAGCAUGGGGCAGUGCCCUUAAGUCUGCCAGAGGUGUAUUUUGCAUCACUUUAAAGUCAUUAUGUGGCUCCAGCUAAAAAGGUGAUUGAUUGAGUCCCUCUGCUAGGUUUCUUCGUCUGUUUCACUCAUAUCCGUUUUUCAGCUUUGGAAAAGCAAAAACCUGCUGCUAAUCAUGCAAGUUAUCUGGCACCACAUCUAACCACACAUGUCCUCCAGUGGCAGAUGUUGCACUAUUCAAAAGCCCUCUUACGCCUCCUCCUAAACCCCAAAUUAUUCUUACCCAUGGGAGAUCGAGAAACUGACUGCCACUCUACCAAGAACUUUGAUUUCAUUAUUAUGAAAAAUGGGCUUUGCAUGACAAGCCUCUCAAAGCUGUGGUUAUAUCAGUUCGUGUGCACCCUUGUUCUGCCUCUCUUUGUCCUUCCACUCAACAUUUCAUUGAAAUGCUUGAAUACAUUACUUUAUACAUACCCAGUUUCCUAAGGAAUAAUUUCCCCUUAACACCAUACCCCUGAGCAAUUAAAGAGGAUGUGGAAGUGACUGUGACACAUUUGUGCACACACUCCUGUGGUUCUGACUUGCUGUCCAAUCAGAAACAUUGCUUCUUUCUCUGCAAAAGCAAUGAGACUUUCCACAGGGGACAGAAUGAUAAUAAAAUACAUGUUUGAUUAGUAAAUUAAACUGGAAAUAAUUAUAAUUAAAAAAAAUAUCAAUGUCUACUUCUACUUCGCACCAUCUCUGUAUUUAUAUAAAUUCUAAGAUAUUGUAGUUACAACGCAUUAUCAUCUUUUAACUUAAAUUUACAGUAAAAAUAUUUUUUAUAGACCACCAAGACUACGUUGGCAUGCACGGCUUAAUGAGGCUUGUAAUGUGAAUUUCCUUCAGUGUUUAACACUUAAGUCAAUCAGUUAAUAAAACUUUAUUUUUAAAGCACCUUUCUCACACCGAAGUUGUAACAACACCAAUGCUUUACAGAGGACAAAAAGGUGGACAGAUUUGAAAAAUAACUAAAACCACUAGAGACACACACUGGAAACAUCAGUAAUCAAUCAAUCAACAAUUAAUUAAUUAAUUAAUCAAUUAAUUUUAUAAUUAGAAGAUAAAGAAAUAAAAUAAUAAUCAGUUAUAGGUGAUCAGGAACUGAGAAUAUAAUUUGCCAAAACUAUUAAUACAUUGUAUAGAAAUACAAUAAUUAAACAUAAUUAUACAUAAUCAUGCUCAUAUUGUUAAUAAUUAAAAUUGAAUUAAAAUAAUUCAAUAAUAAAAACAACCAUACAAAGACAAUAAAUAUGCAUAAAUUUCAACUAAAGACCAACUAAAUAGAUUCACCUUUAGUUUGCUUUGAAAAAGAUCCAAACUCUCCUCCAAAAUGGUUUACUAGGAAAUAUGUGCUAAAUGUGUUUAAUUUUUGUAGCUUUUCUUUCUGUUUGGCUAAACCAGGAACUUGCAUCAGGGCCCCCAGGGUAUGUUUCAGAUGUCUGUAAGCUUCUGUCCCUAAAAAAUUACUUCGGCUUCUUUCUAGUUUUAUUUUAGCAUUAUAAACGAUAAAUGAAGAUGUAUAUUUUCUGACUUUAUUUUUAUUAGAAUAGCAUGAUGAUGUACUGAGAUUGCUUAUUGAGUUUCUUUCUUCUGAAAGCAACCCCACAUCACUCCCUAAAGUUUAGAAAGUACUUUAAGAUGCUCUUACUUGUUUGUAAUGCUCUUAGUUCACUCAAUGGAUCAGAUUUGCUUUUAUCCUACACAUCUCUCGGUUUUCUGUUAAUAUUUUCUGUUAAUAUUUAAAGACUUGAGGGUAUCUGAGAGUUUUCAUGUUGUUGUGAAAACAAACCAGCGAUGCAUUUUUUUAGUCUAGAUUUUAGUUCAAGUUAACAGUUAUUUAAAUAUUUAUUUUUUAUGAUUUUAUUUUCAUUUUAGUUGUUACCAACAUUUUGCUAUCUGUUUGAUUGUAUUGCAUUGCCAUUACUUAAGAUUUUAUCACAAAUAUUCUUAUUCAGGUUUUUACACCAUUUACCAACAGUACACAUUAAUUCUCUUAUAAUUAAUUUAUAUAAUGUCCCAUUUUAGGUUUACUUAGUUUACAGUUUUCCAGGGAGUUUUUAUUAUGUCUGUCCAUCUUUUUUAACCUCUGUAAAUCAUUUUGUGCACCUGUCUGUAUAAAAACUGCUGUCUAAAUAAAGUUUGACUGAUUGAUUGAUUUUGAA